CGCACGGGUGAGUAACACGUAUCCAACCUGCCGUCUACUCUUGGACAGCCUUCUGAAAGGAAGAUUAAUACAAGAUGGCAUCAUGAGUCCGCAUGUUCACAUGAUUAAAGGUAUUCCGGUAGACGAUGGGGAUGCGUUCCAUUAGAUAGUAGGCGGGGUAACGGUCCACCUAGUCUUCGAUGGGUAGGGGUUCUGAGAGGAAGGUCCCCCACAUUGGAACUGAGACACGGUCCAA
rnacentral:rRNA from 1 species